UAGGGCGGGACACGUGGUAUCCUGUCUGAAUAUGGGGGGACCAUCCUCCAAGGCUAAAUACUCCUGACUGACCGAUAGUGAACCAGUACCGUGAGGGAAAGGCGAAAAGAACCCCGGCGAGGGGAGUGAAAAAGAACCUGAAACCGUGUACGUACAAGCAGUGGGAGCACGCUUAGGCGUGUGACUGCGUACCUUUUGUAUAAUGGGUCAGCGACUUAUAUUCUGUAGCAAGGUUAACCGAAUAGGGGAGCCGAAGGGAAACCGAGUCUUAACUGGGCGUUAAGUUGCAGGGUAUAGACCCGAAACCCGGUGAUCUAGCCAUGGGCAGGUUGAAGGUUGGGUAACACUAACUGGAGGACCGAACCGACUAAUGUUGAAAAAUUAGCGGAUGACUUGUGGCUGGGGGUGAAAGGCCAAUCAAACCGGGAGAUAGCUGGUUCUCCCCGAAAGCUAUUUAGGUAGCGCCUCGUGAACUCAUCUCCGGGGGUAGAGCACUGUUUCGGCAAGGGGGUCAUCCCGACUUACCAACCCGAUGCAAACUGCGAAUACCGGAGAAUGUUAUCACGGGAGACACACGGCGGGUGCUAACGUCCGUCGUGAAGAGGGAAACAACCCAGACCGCCAGCUAAGGUCCCAAAGUCAUGGUUAAGUGGGAAACGAUGUGGGAAGGCCCAGACAGCCAGGAUGUUGGCUUAGAAGCAGCCAUCAUUUAAAGAAAGCGUAAUAGCUCACUGGUCGAGUCGGCCUGCGCGGAAGAUGUAACGGGGCUAAACCAUGCACCGAAGCUGCGGCAGCGACGCUUAUGCGUUGUUGGGUAGGGGAGCGUUCUGUAAGCCUGCGAAGGUGUGCUGUGAGGCAUGCUGGAGGUAUCAGAAGUGCGAAUGCUGACAUAAGUAACGAUAAAGCGGGUGAAAAGCCCGCUCGCCGGAAGACCAAGGGUUCCUGUCCAACGUUAAUCGGGGCAGGGUGAGUCGACCCCUAAGGCGAGGCCGAAAGGCGUAGUCGAUGGGAAACAGGUUAAUAUUCCUGUACUUGGUGUUACUGCGAAGGGGGGACGGAGAAGGCUAUGUUGGCCGGGCGACGGUUGUCCCGGUUUAAGCGUGUAGGCUGGUUUUCCAGGCAAAUCCGGAAAAUCAAGGCUGAGGCGUGAUGACGAGGCACUACGGUGCUGAAGCAACAAAUGCCCUGCUUCCAGGAAAAGCCUCUAAGCAUCAGGUAACAUCAAAUCGUACCCCAAACCGACACAGGUGGUCAGGUAGAGAAUACCAAGGCGCUUGAGAGAACUCGGGUGAAGGAACUAGGCAAAAUGGUGCCGUAACUUCGGGAGAAGGCACGCUGAUAUGUAGGUGAAGCGACUUGCUCGUGGAGCUGAAAUCAGUCGAAGAUACCAGCUGGCUGCAACUGUUUAUUAAAAACACAGCACUGUGCAAACACGAAAGUGGACGUAUACGGUGUGACGCCUGCCCGGUGCCGGAAGGUUAAUUGAUGGGGUCAGCGCAAGCGAAGCUCUUGAUCGAAGCCCCGGUAAACGGCGGCCGUAACUAUAACGGUCCUAAGGUAGCGAAAUUCCUUGUCGGGUAAGUUCCGACCUGCACGAAUGGCGUAAUGAUGGCCAGGCUGUCUCCACCCGAGACUCAGUGAAAUUGAACUCGCUGUGAAGAUGCAGUGUACCCGCGGCAAGACGGAAAGACCCCGUGAACCUUUACUAUAGCUUGACACUGAACAUUGAGCCUUGAUGUGUAGGAUAGGUGGGAGGCUUUGAAGUGUGGACGCCAGUCUGCAUGGAGCCGACCUUGAAAUACCACCCUUUAAUGUUUGAUGUUCUAACGUUGACCCGUAAUCCGGGUUGCGGACAGUGUCUGGUGGGUAGUUUGACUGGGGCGGUCUCCUCCUAAAGAGUAACGGAGGAGCACGAAGGUUGGCUAAUCCUGGUCGGACAUCAGGAGGUUAGUGCAAUGGCAUAAGCCAGCUUGACUGCGAGCGUGACGGCGCGAGCAGGUGCGAAAGCAGGUCAUAGUGAUCCGGUGGUUCUGAAUGGAAGGGCCAUCGCUCAACGGAUAAAAGGUACUCCGGGGAUAACAGGCUGAUACCGCCCAAGAGUUCAUAUCGACGGCGGUGUUUGGCACCUCGAUGUCGGCUCAUCACAUCCUGGGGCUGAAGUAGGUCCCAAGGGUAUGGCUGUUCGCCAUUUAAAGUGGUACGCGAGCUGGGUUUAGAACGUCGUGAGACAGUUCGGUCCCUAUCUGCCGUGGGCGCUGGAGAACUGAGGGGGGCUGCUCCUAGUACGAGAGGACCGGAGUGGACGCAUCACUGGUGUUCGGGUUGUCAUGCCAAUGGCACUGCCCGGUAGCUAAAUGCGGAAGAGAUAAGUGCUGAAAGCAUCUAAGCACGAAACUUGCCCCGAGAUGAGUUCUCCCUGAC
rnacentral:rRNA from 1 species